rnacentral:lncRNA from 1 species
GAAGAAAAUCUUGGGAAAUAGAAGCUAAUGAGGCCUUGCCCGGAUGGCCAAGGCGUUGGUGCAACAGAUCACCGGAAGUGGUGAAGAAGGCAGCGCCGCCAAUGGAGUGCUUGCCAUAAAACGGGUAGAGAGGACCGGGCCUACUGGACGUCAUGAUGUGUCUCCUGGUGGGAAAGUCCUUCAGAGAAAAACCGGAGGGGUUAAACUCAACAGAGACAUUGUUAUCGGAAGAAAGUUUACGAACAGAGAUAAGAUCCUUAACGAUAGAAGGGCAGACAACUACAUCGUGGAGAGAGAGAUUUGUGGGAGGGAGAGAGGUGGAGCCGAUGCCAGUAAUGGGGAGGCGAUCACCGUUGCUGACAAUUAUGUUUUGAAAAAGGACGGAACGAGGAGAGGGUACCUGCGUUACCCGUGACGUGUGUGGCGGCACUGGAGUCGAGGAUCCAAUCGGCGCUCUGUUGGGAAAGGUCGUGCUGGCUGUAGGCCUGAUGGAGCAGGGCUGCGUGAUCCCAGCCAGGAGCGUCGAGCGGGAGCGAUGAGGGACCCGGCUGCUGCGGGCCGGAGUACAUCAGGGGGUAGGCCUGCGAGUGAACACCCGGGCGCGGUCCGAGGACGCCAGCGGCAUUCGGAGGGAUCCAGCCGGCGCGGGGAGCCGGCAACGCCAUGCCGAAGGGAGCGAAGUAGCCGGUCCACGGCGACUGCUGCGAGGGGCUGCGACCACCAGAGUCCGAGCGACCGCGGCCACGACCACGAUCGCCACCACCGUUGUCGCGGGCGCCACCAGAGCCGCGGCCAAUGGGGGGAGCGCAGUCACCACGAUCAGAGCGGUCGCCAAGAUCACCGCGGCCGCCGCGGUCAGGGUUGGAGCUGGGACCGCCGGAGACGGUGAGGGCCGCGGAUCCGGCGUCGGACGCGCGGAGGUUGAUGUUGUACUCCACAAGCUCCAGCCGAGAGCGAGUGACGGCGAAGGGAGGCAGGGGAACCGUGUCGCCGAGGAUCGUGCGGAUGGUGUCGAAACGGGCGUCAAGGCCGUGCAGGAGCUGCAUCAUGAGAUCGUGGUCGUGGACGGUGUUGCCGGUGUCCACGAGACCGUCGGCGAGCGCCUUGAGGCGCUGGGCGUACACCGAGACGGUGAGGUCGCCCUGCUUUAGGUUGCGAAAUUGGCGAGUGAGAUGCAGGUAUUGGGCCCCCUGGUUGGCCUGGAAGUAGUCCCGGAUGCGAGUCCAGGCGGUGUAGGCGUCGCCGGCGCCACCCAUGAUGAGCUCGAGGAGGGGAUCGGCUAGUGUGAAGAGAAUCCAGAGGAGCAGGCGGUGGUCGAUGGCGAGCCAGGAAGGAUCGGGUGUGGCAGGGGGAGGGUGGAGGACGUGGUCCUGGACGCGGUGCUGAAGAAGGACAUAGUUGAAGAACUUGCGCCACUUGAUGUAGUUGUUGGAUCGAGUUUGAAGGUGAUGUGGUUGGAGAUGUGGUCUUGAUGAAAAUUGAGGAAGUAAGGAUCAGCGGGGGAACGACCAUGGUCGAGAGAGCGGAAGUGGCAGCGGGAGGGGAGGAACCAGGAGGAGGGGAGGACUUGGCGACGGCGUCGACGGCCGCGGCGGCGGCGGCGUCAGGAGCAGGGAGGUCGCCGAAGAUGUCCUCAAACGUCAUGGAGAACUGAUACCAAGUUGAAGAGUAGAGUGGCUCAAUAUGCUGCUAUUGUAUUGAUAUUCAGAGAUUGUUACAGAGUACAAGAGAGAGCCCAACGUCUCCCGUGAGAAGAGGCACGCAGCCCACAACAGGAGAGUGGUUAGCGAUCCUAAGAUCUAGGGGAGGUACAACAGCUUACAGAAUACAAAGGACUCUGUACAGAUACAUUGAUACAGCACUGAUACAUACAUGUUAACAAAGCCCGUGCCAAGCGCUCCGCUUGAGACAUGCCACAUGAUGCGCGCCGUUUGUUACUAGUAGUACUCUUUGUGGAGGAUCGAUUGUUAUUGCACUCUCUCCAUCUCAAGAUAGUUGGUGAUCACAAUCACGCUUGCAACAUGCCACAUGAUGCACGCUGUUUGUUACUAGUGCUCUUUGUGGUUUCUUUUAAUCAUGUGGCAGCAAAUUCGACGAGGUCACUCGGGCCAUCUCAUGAGCAUCCGAGGAGAUUAUUGCAUCACAUAGCAGUUCCAUUUUUGUUAAAAGAAAAUAUAGUCCCAAACAUAUUUUUUUUUGAGAAAUACAUGUAGUUUUAUUCAUACUCAUAACAAUACAGGUACACAUUUUUUAUAGAAAAAACACCUCUCCAUAUAUUAAUUCAAUAAAACGUUAUUACAACCAUGUAGCGCUGAAAACUAUUCCAAAGAAUAUUGUCUGAUCAACUAUCAAAACUAAAUUUAGCAAUUUCAUGCGCCACCGCAUUGGCCUUCCUAUUAAUUUUAGACAAUUUGAAGCUGUUCAAAAGCUUGAUGAUGACAAACGCUUCCUUGUUGAGGUCAACCAGUGGUGAUUUGUGAAAACUUUAUGUUGCAAGGGAAGAAACCACAAACGCUUUCUUUUGCAGGUAAACGCUUCCUUGUUGAGGUCAACCAGUGGUGAUUUGUGAAAACUUUAUGUUGCAAGGGAAGAAACCACAAACGCUUUCUUUUACAGGUACACCGGUUUGGAUCUAAGAUCCAAGAAAAUACAAAUUAACUCCUAUAACUAAGAAUUGCAACAAAAUCUUUUGGAAACACUUUCUUGGAGGUAUCAAACUGUGCUAGAAAAAAUAUUUCAAAGACUUUGCUAUAAAGGUUGCAAUUGGACUGGAGCAAUGAUGUUGUCGCUCUUGCACCCGCACGAACAUUACACAUAAGGGCUUUUGAAAGCGCCUUGAGUUACCAUGAUCGAUGAACGUACUUGGGCCGAGGAUUAUCCCCUAGAAGUGCAGUCCGUCGAAUCAUGAUAUCUACAACAUCGUGUCGAUGAAAGAUUUCAGAUCCACAAAGAAUCAAACCAACAAUUUUUUUGACACACCAACAAAAACUCAUCAAAUCUAAAUAAUCAGAUCGGUGAGGAGGACAAAAAGCUCUCUAACCUCAUGGCACCGCAAAAAUAACGUGAGUAAAUAUAUUCUCACAAAAUACCGUCCCAAACAUGGUCUCUCAAACCCUAUGGAAGUAGCCAAGAAUUGCAUGUGUUGGUAAUAUUUUAAUUAUCCAAGUCUUAAAAUGCAUUAGUAUGUAUUAACCCAGAGAAACCGUUCACUUCCUUGAAAAAUAGAAGAAAUAUAUUGUUGCCUAACUUCUACACGCCUAUGAUUUCAACUGUUGCCUAAUACAACGUUCCUUGCUGACACUGGAGUAGUUCUAUCCCUAUGUAUUUAUAAUAGUCUCUGUUUGCUUUGUAGGGAGUAAAUCUCAAAGUACCUUCUUGUGUGUCGAAGCUUGUCUCCGGGCCCCUGCCAGCAAUCAAAACUGACUCACCUGACCAGUUCCGCAGCAAGCUUCGACUCCCACACUUUGCGAAGCCAAGCCACUAUGAGCUACAUUUCCGCCCCAACCUCGUCUCUUACACCUUCUCCGGUGUGGUGGCAGUCAAUGUCACCGUCAUAACACCCACCCGUUUCCUCGUUCUCAAUGUUGUGGAACUCAUGGUUGACCCUGCUUCCAUAAAAUUUAAGGUAUACAAUGGUCCACCGACAUGUAAAGGAAAGACAAGCUCUCAAAAGAUGUUUCAUUCCCCACAUCACAUAAUAAAUCUUGUCUUGAUUAGUUAUGUAUGGCUAUUGCGGUGUUUAGUGCCGACCGAGGUGGUGUUUUUUAAGGAUGAUCAAAUUAUGGUGAUUGGUUUUCAGAAAGAGCUUCCAGUAAGUGAAGGUGUGCUCAGGAUGCACUUCAAUGGCACUCUCAAUGAUGAGACGAGGGGAUUUUUCAAGAGGUAUGAGUUCCUUAUUGUGUGUGUGUGUGUGUGUGUGUGUGNNNNNNNNNNNNNNNNNNNNNNNNNNNNNNNNNNNNNNNNNNNNNNNNNNNNNNNNNNNNNNNNNNNNNNNNNNNNNNNNNNNNNNNNNNNNNNNNNNNNNNNNNNNNNNNNNNNNNNNNNNNNNNNNNNNNNNNNNNNNNNNNNNNNNNNNNNNNNNNNNNNNNNNNNNNNNNNNNNNNNNNNNNNNNNNNNNNNNNNNNNNNNNNNNNNNNNNNNNNNNNNNNNNNNNNNNNNNNNNNNNNNNNNNNNNNNNNNNNNNNNNNNNNNNNNNNNNNNNNNNNNNNNNNNNNNNNNNNNNNNNNNNNNNNNNNNNNNNNNNNNNNNNNNNNNNNNNNNNNNNCUGUUCUGGGUAGAAUAACUACUUUACACACAAGGCAGAAAAAAUAGUAAGCCAUGUAGGAAAAAUAGCAAGACAUGCAAACAUGAAAAAAUAUCAGAACACAUAUCAACGUAUAGCUCAUGCUCAGAAAAUCCCAAUAGAUAAAAUUUUGCAUAUCAAUCAUAUGGAGCGAUAUACCAAAGGAGAGAGAACAACUGAACUACCGGUUUCUAUAUGUUCGAAACUUGGUAGGACGCCACAAUCACUAGCUAGCUUACAACAAGUCAUAUCAAUGUUGAAACUUCAAAAUACACUUACAUUAUGCGUGCACAACUAAUAUUACUGUUUUUCUUGUUUCAUGCUUUUGUUAUUUAUUUUGCUUUCGGUAGGUAUAAGGGGAAGAUAGCAAACAUGGCGGCGACAAACUUUCAACCCGUGGAUGCUCGGCGGUGCUUUCCUUGUUGGGAUGAGCUUGCUUUCAAGGUAAUUAUUAUAGCAUGAUUAAUAAGAUUUCUAGGUUAUCUAGAUGCUUGAUCUAUUUUUGUCCUUCCUUGAGCAUCAUUGUUCACUAAUUCAUAAGUUGACUAUUUUUUAGGGGUAAGCACUUUUACCUCCUCAUCAGAAAUAUUGACUUUCCCUUCAUAUGUGCACCAUGGCCUCAAUAAGGUCAGCUCUAUUUCCUAACAUGUUCUCUCAUGUCAUUUGAAUAUUUCAGGCUAAGUUCAAAAUAACAUUGGAAGUUCCAUCUGAGUUGGUAGCACUGUCCAACAUGCAUGUAUCUAGUUAGAUAGUGGUUGGUCCUAUCAAGAUUGUCGAAUUUGAGGAAUCGCCUCUAAUGUCAACUUACUUAGUUGCCAUGGUUGUUGGUAUUUUUGACAUUGUAGAGCAUGUAACAUCACAUGGUAUCAACUCCAUUUUUCUUGUUACAUUGACAUCAACCAUUUAAAUGUCAUUACCACUUUCCAUUAUUCUAUUUCCGGGCACUAGAGUUCGUAUGUACACUGAAGUUGGUAAGAGUGAAUAAGGGAAAUUUGCAUUGGAUGUUGGAGUGAAGUCAUUGGAUUUCUAUAAUGAGUAAGAUCAAAACCAACCUUUGUCAUUAAUUAAAAUGGUUUCAAGAGAAGAACAUGAACGAUUAUAAUGAAGUCUCUCAAGAUAUGGAUGUUAUAGAUAGAAUAACUAACCAAGUGUUUAUUUCGUCAAUGUUGUAUUUACUUUGGCACUCCUUAUGCACUCUCUAAAUUGGAUAUGAUUGGUAUUAGCAACUUUAGUUGGAUGGGCAUGGAGAACUAUGGAUUGGUUACUUUCGAAAUCCAAGAUUUGCUAUUUAAUGAGACAUCUUCAACAUCUACCAAACAACACGAAGGAUGGACCAUAAGUCAUAAAGUUAUUUUGUUGCAUUAUUACAUCAUUUACUAUUCACAACUUAAACAACUUAUGUGUUCUUACCUAACCAAUUUAGAAGUGAAUUACAUUAUGUAAAUUGAUAGUGGCUAUAUUUAACUAUUAUACCUUUGUUUGGGAUUACUGGAGUUUUGUGAAGGCAAGCUUUGUUUAUUGAUCUAAACACUAUUAUGUCUAGAUUGCCGUUACCGUGGCACAUGAAUUGGCUCAUCAGUGGUGUGGCAAUCUUGUAACCAUGGAGUGGUGGAAUCACUUAUGGCUAAGUGAGGGACUUGCUACAUGGGUAAUUUGAUGACUCGACAUUUCAUGAUAUGACCAAGCUACUUGCAUAUAUUGAAUACACUCAUUGUUUUAACAGAUGGCCUAUCAAGCUGUAGAUUCUAUUUUUCCUAAAUGGAAUAUUUUGAUGGAGUUUCUUGAUAGUACAAUUUCUACUCUUAAAUUGGAUUCAAUAACUGGGUCACACUCUAUCGAGGUAAUGACAAUGGUUGAUACUGUAGCAUGGCAUGAUCAUGUGGUUGGAAUUGUUAUGCAUUUGAAAUGAUGUGCAUUAAUAUUUAUACGGACACACUCUAUACCUAGACUCUAUUUUCUAUUGAAACAUAAGAAUAGGUGGACCUUUCAGUUGAUAAUGACACAUACUCUAUUUUCUAUUUUCUGCUGAGAUUUAUUUUUUAUCAUAGUAGAUGAUGAUAAUUUAUAUAUGUUAAUCUGAAAUCCUAGGACAUCAUUGGUUAAUUCGUUGUUGACUCUUGAAAGGUCCAUGGAAUAUGACAAUUUUUCAAAAACUACUGACAUAGCAGACAAAAAUUGUAUUAGGAAAAUACAUAGUAGAUUUAUUAUUUUAAACAACUAGAAAUUGUGCAAAAAGAAUUAUUUCAAAAACUUUGUAUGAAUGUUGCCUUCGCUAACUGGGAUGCAUCUAUCAAUAUUAGCUUGCCAUGGAUACAUCCAACCUAAAGACAAUGUGGCAAAACAUGACAUGUAGCCAUCUUUGAAACUAAUGAUGUUCCAAAGUUGUUCUUUGGGUUAUUAUUCUUCCAAAAGCAACAGGUUAUUCUUGUUUGGGUCAUACCCGUCACUAAUAUGGCAUCAUGCCCAGGCAAUUAUUGGUCCAAGUAGCAUAGAUGACUAUUUGGGCUAUUCUUCAUCCAACCAUCAUUCAAACUAAUGUUGUUCAAAAGUUGGAGUGUGAGAAAGGGUCCAAGGCAAUGGUGGUUGAGGCCCCAUGCUUCACACCACGACCAACCUCACUCAACAUUGCAUGCCAUGGGAACAAUAUCUUACACUUGGCACCAUUGCUUUUGUGUUCUAUCUCUCUUCCCAUGUCCAAUUUACUAAAAAGUAAUAAUCAUAAAUGUUUUACUAGUAUUUUAAGAUGUAAUUUGUUGUCCGUUAAAAAAGACCACUAUAGAUUUCUUAACAAGAAAGACUAAUGUGCGGUCAUCUUCUUGAGUUCUCUGGUGAAAGCAUUCACAAGAGGAACACUACACAAGGGUUCAAGCUCUUAUAGAGUUAAGGGGGUUGGAUGGAACAAAGUUUGUGGUAUUGUGGCACUAUGUGUUGGUAGCUGGGUUGGGGUUGUUCUGUAAUACCAACAGUUGGUCUAAUUAACAUGUUGUUUAUAUGUGGAGAACAAUCUAUCUUUGAUGUAUUAACGGUAGGUGUGUAAACACCGAUAUUUGGUAUUUUGAUGUAUUAACGGUAGGUGUGUAAACACCGGUAUUUGGUAUAUUGAUGUAUUAACGGUAGGUGUGUAAACACCGGUAUUUGGUAUAUUGAUGGAUGCUUAUAAAACACUAAAAGUAACGUAUGUUCUUACAGAAGACCUUCUCAAAUACCUGUAACAAAGUAGGAUUUUGCAAGAUGUUUCAAACAUGUGCAGUCCAGGAUGUCAUUAUUCGUACAAAUGCAGGACAUAAGUUAGUCAGGGCUAGCAUACCCUAAGAGAAGUAUCCAAUAAAUCACAAGUGGGUGGGGUUUAAUUUUUUCACUCAGUAUGUAGUCUCUCAAAGUUCCGUUUGUAGUUAUAUGAUAUUUCUCCUUUAUUUGUCUAGUUCUACGAAAUUAACUACAGAAUAUUGAAAUUGAUACUAAUUACUUUUAUUCUCAUACAUUAUGUUAUACAUCAAAUUUGGUAAUUUCAUCAACAUAGAUUCAGUUGGUUCAUUUAAGAUUUUUUUACUUUUCUAAAUAUUGGCUUUUAAUCUUCUACAUGCCCAGGAUCAAAUACACCAUACCAGUGAAAUCUUUGAUAUAUUUGAUGACAUCAACUAUAUUAAAGAUUAGCCUUUGAAUCGUGUUUAUUUUCUCAACAGAAAAUCGCGUCCAAUCCAAAACAGCUAUUCAUGCUGGACACCCUGCCAUGGACUCUUCGAGGGCUGACCUUGGAGCAUCACCGGCUCACUGCCGGUCGCCGUCCUCGCCGCCGGUCGCCGUCCUCGUCGCCGUCCUCGCCGCCGCCCGCCCCGCUGCACCGGCCGAUCCCCCCUUCCCCUGUGUCUACCCUCCCAUGAAGACGACGCCGCUCCUCGCUCGCAACCCCGCCGUUGAAGCUGCAUCUCGUGGUCGUUUUGUGGCCCUCGUCGCCAUUGGUUGCAACAUGGCGUUGCUCCAUGGUCGCACCCCACCGUCGUUUGGUUGCAGCCUCGCCGUCAACCCGUCGCAGCCUCGCCGUCAUAGCCAUUGCUGGCUCUAGGUUGAAGCUUUUUCCAUGGUCGGUUGAAGCUUUUUUCUUAGCUGCUUCCAGCUUUUUCAUGGGGUUGAAGCUUUUCCGUCAUGCCUGUUGAAGCUUUUUUUUUCCCAUUGGUUGUAACUUCUACUAGGCCGGUUGAAGCUUUUUCCCAUGUCCGUUUUCAUAUUCGGCUGUACCAGUACCUCACCCUGAUUACUCAACGUAGCAAAAAAGUCUGCUGGUUGUAGCAAAUAGGUGUGGCGGUUCCAGCAAAAAAGAAGCUCGCCAGUGUCGUCCAACUGAUUAUAGCGUUGAUGGCUAAUUUCUAUGGUUCCAGCAAAACUUGAUGCCGGAUGUAGCAAUUUGUGUCACUGGAUGCAGCUCCGGCGACCUGUUCCCCGCACAUAAUCUCAUCGACUUGUAUCAUUUUUUGCCGCCGGUUCCUCGGGCGGCGGUAGGGCUAGAGUCCGCCGGCGUCGUGACGGGGUUGGAUCUGGAGAUGGGUUCUCUCGUUGUGGGACUAGGCCUCGGGUGUAGGCCGUUCUGCUAGGCGGCGGCCGAUGUGUAGAUGCCUAGAUGGACAGAUCUCUCUUCUCUGUAGUGUAGUCCGAAUGUGUAGUUCUGUACUUCUGUAGUCAUGUGCAGUUUUGUUCAUGCUGAUUUUAGUUACUACUCCUUGACUCACACUAUACUACAGAUGGGAUUAUGAACACUAUACUGCAGUUUUGUUCUUGCUGUUAGUGUAGAAGAGUUUUGUACUUCAUACUGUUUCUUACUGACUGAGUGCUGAAUUACUUAUGUUUCUUGUUGUGUUCAUUGUCUGAUUGUAGGCCUCGGCGUGUCAAGCACAGCAUCAACAGCCCAUGGACAAGCUGCCAUUGCGAAUGCGAAAUCAAAAGACCCAGGAUGGAAAUAUUGCAUUUGCCCGGAUGAAAACAAGAAGAAUUCACUUAGGUGCAUCUAUUGUAAUAAUCUGUACACCAAUGGUAUUACUCGGAUCAAGUUCCACCUUGGAAACAUUCCGAAUUCUGGUGUUCUACCUUGCACAAAAGUGCCUGCUGAUGUAAGGGAUAAAAUUGUUGAGUAGACAUUGCUGUCAAGUUCUUUGAGCCAUUGGCUAAUUUGCUCAGGAAGAUGGACAGCGAUGUACCGGCUAUGGGAUUCAUAUACGGCGCCUUUUUGGAUGCCAAGCAAGAGAUCAAAACUAAAUUUGAAAAUGAACAAGGAUCUUGUUUUCAGGAAGUGUUGGAUAUUGUGGAUAAAAGAUGGGACAGCAAGUUGAAGGGGCCACUACAUAGGGCCGGAUACUUCUUAAAUCCAUACUACUACUAUGAAAACAAGAAGCAAAUUGAGUUAGAUGGAUCAUUUGAAGCUGGGCUUGUAACUUGCAUGGAAAAAAUGGUUGAAGAUGUUGUCCUUCAAGACAAAAUCAAUGAUGAGCUUGUGGCAUAUCGAAAGGAACAGGGGACAUUUGGAAGAGAAAUUGCCAAAAGGCAGCGGAGAAACAAAAGCUUUGAUCCAGGUGCAUAUUCACAUUUUUAUCAAUUCUCAAAUCUGAUCUUACAAUGGUUUAUUAACUAUGGUUUUAUACUUUUGAAUGAAGCUCAAUGGUGGUCCAGUCAUGGGUCAGAUUCACCAAAUCUCAGAGUAUUGGCGAUGCGGAUUUUGAGUUUGACAUGCAGCUCCUCCGCUUGUGAGAGGAAUUUUAGUGUUUUUCAGCAGGUAAGAAAGAAGUACAAUUUAUCCUGUUCUCAACUUCUCAUAUUAGUGCCCUUGAAAAAUAUUUGCCUAUGUUAUGCUAGCAAACUUGAUUUGUUCUCAACUUCAUAGAAGUGUCCUGUUGUCCGUGUUGUAAAUGUACGCAAUCCUGGUGUUCGUGUUGCUUGAUAUGAAUUGAUGGCUGGUUUGUGCUGUACAGUGUAUAACUUUCCUUGAUGUAGAAUAUAUUUCCUUGCUUCCUUACUGUGAUAACAUAUUUGUUUCCUUGCAAACUUGCCAUGUUGCUUACUUGGUUGCUGUUACCUAUAGAUUCACACAAAGAAACACAACAGGCUGCUUUAUAAUAAAAUGAGAGACCUUGUUUUUAUCAAGUUCAACUCCAAACUCAAACAAAAGAGAAAGAUGAAAAACAGGGACCCGAUUGUGGACCACACAUUUGUAGAUGUUGUAGAAGAUGAAGAUAAUGAGUGGAUCACAUGUAUUGUGCCUCAUGAACCUGAUGAAGUUGUAGAAGUUGCAGCAUCAACAUCACAAGGAGCAGUUGGUGCAUCAAAAAGAAAGAGAGCGUCCCAAUCUCGCCCUCGGAAGAAGAAAAAACUGCUCCCUGUUUUUCGUGAAGAUGAGUUGGAGUCAGCUAGUUCUUCUUCUGAAUCGGAAGAUGAUGCCAUGCAUUCACCAUCUGGUUCAUCAAAUGAGAGUGAUUCUGAAUAAUUUCCAAGUUGUCGUUGUAUUGUAUUGUUUACUUGUUGGCUUGUUGCCUUGUUGGCUAGUUCAUCUUUAAACUGAUAUGUUGUACUAUUGUCGUCCUAUGGCAGUUGUUGUUGCCCUUCUAGUUUUUUGGACAAGUAAUUUCGCAUAUGUCGCUAUGGACUGUUGUAUUGUUAUGUUCUCCAUCUAGUUCAUCAUAAAACUACUAUGUUGUAUUGUUAUUGUUGUUCAUCUUAAUUAGUUAUGCAUGUAUGGCUCCUGAAAAAAAAUAUUAGAUGUUGAAAUCCUUAUUUUUUGGGAUAUAUUUGGCUUUUUUUUUAAAACGCUAUUUUGAAUAUAGCACGCUAUAGCAUGCUAUAACUUGUAUAGCAUUUGGAGAAGGGCCACGCUAUUUUAAAUAGCACGCUAUUCAAAACAUUGGCUGCUUCCAGCUUUUUCAUGGGGUUGAAGCUUUUCCGUCAUGCCUGUUGAAGCUUUUUUUUUCCCAUUGGUUGUAACUUCUACUAGGCCGGUUGAAGCUUUUUCCCAUGUCCGUUUUCAUAUUCGGCUGUACCAGUACCUCACCCUGAUUACUCAACGUAGCAAAAAAGUCUGCUGGUUGUAGCAAAUAGGUGUGGCGGUUCCAGCAAAAAAGAAGCUCGCCAGUGUCGUCCAACUGAUUAUAGCGUUGAUGGCUAAUUUCUAUGGUUCCAGCAAAACUUGAUGCCGGAUGUAGCAAUUUGUGUCACUGGAUGCAGCUCCGGCGACCUGUUCCCCGCACAUAAUCUCAUCGACUUGUAUCAUUUUUUGCCGCCGGUUCCAGCACACCAGAUAGCCGGUUCCAGCACGGGCGCACAGUGGUUGUAGCACCGCGAUAUCGAGGUCGUAGCAGUGCACGACGCCAGUCACAACACCGCUCGCCAUGGUUGUAGCACACUCCACGACGGCGACGAGGCCCUGGUUGUAGCAAUAUCGAGGGGCUCGCCGGCCAAGACAGAGAGGAAAUUGCUGGUGAGCGUGGCCAUGAAAUCGACGACCAACGACGUGUCCUUGUAGCAGCCUCAUGUGGUUUUAUUGCAGGGGGAGGAAGGGGGUAGAAGCAGCUCGCAGGAGAAGGCUCAUGGUGGUGCGAGGUAGAAGAAAGAGAAGAGACAGCAACGUUUCUGAAGAUAUGAUUUUUGUGGCCACAAAACGGUUGGUGCGAAAAAGAUAAAAGUCAGCGCGUGGGCUAGGGCACGUGGCUAUGUGGGAUAGGUGCGCGAGCGAGCAGAGCCAGGGCGACCGGCGCAAGCUUCAGCCGGUCGUCCGGCCACAAUCGUUUCCUUAUUAUUAAAGAGAAUUAUUAUUCCUUUGCUGAAGAUCAAGGUCAAUUACUUUUUUUCUGAAGUUGUUGUUGUGCCGAAUCACAAUGACCAGUAGUCUAAAGUCCAUACUUGGACUCAAAAAAGAGUCCACAUUAUGUACGUAAUGCCCAAUCCGUCUAUUCCUUUAGCGACCUUUCCAAGCAGAACUUUUUCCCCAACAAAUCUACUCGUACACGACAUGAGCGGCCAGGGCAGCGACGAGGUGACUUCGCCGCUGGAAGACGAUGAUCUUCUCUCGGAGAUCCUCCUCCGCCUCCCCACGUUACCCUCCUCGCUCCCGCGCGCCUCGCUCGUCUGCAAGCGCUGGCAGCGCCUCGCCACCGACGCCAUCUUCCUCCGCCUCUUCCGCGGCCGCCACCUCAAGCCCCCCAUGCUUGGCGCAUUCAGUAAGGCCUCCGUCGCCGGAGAAAUCGUAUUCACCCCGCUUCUCGACCCUCCCGACCGCAUCCCCACCGAGCGCUUCUCCCUGCGAGUUUGCGGCGAGGACGCCCCUGAUGUGUGCCACGUGUUCGGGAGCCACCAUGGACACGUCCUCGUCAUCAACUGGAGGACACUGGAGCUCGCGGUGUUUGACCCCGUCUCCGGCGACCGCCGCACCAUAGUCAUCCCGCCGGAAUGCGGCGAUAGUGGGCUCAUCAUCGACAACGGGACGGUGCUCUGCCUCUGCGCUGCCCGAAACUACCAGGGCCACGUGCACGGAGACUGCCACUCGAGGCCCCUUAAGGUGGUAUUGGUAGGCAGGGACAAGACAGUCCAUCCUCAAGCCGCCUUCGCCAGGGUUUACUCCUCAGAGACUGGCAUGUGGGGAGAUAUCAUCUCGUCGGCCGAACCAUGUACUGGUGCUCUUAGCCGGCACCCGUGCACCUUUAUCGGAAGUGCUCUUUACUGGCGCCUAAUUGGAGGUGGGGAUGGCAUACUUGAGUUCGACCUGGAUAACCAGAGCCUGACUGUCAUCGAUUGGCCUACCGAUGACCCUGUGCUUACCAACAGCUGCACCAUCCGGGGAGAGGACGGCGGUGUUGGCGUCGCCCUCCUUUUGUACCCAAACCUCGAAAUGUGGGAUCGCAAGGUAAAUCAUCGUGGUGUUGCCACAUGGGUGCUGCGGAAGACCACUGACAUGACUGGGAUGCUGGGUCCGGAGUCUGCGAAUGCAUAUAUAGUGGGGUACGACGAGGAUGCCGAUGCAGUUUUUAUGUUGAUACUGAUAGAUGGAGAUCCAUGCAGUCCUUUCUUGAUCAUCGUUCAGCUUGAGUCGAUGAAGGUCAAGGAAUAUUAUGGAAGCUCUAUUGCGGAGAACUACUAUUAUUCGUUCAGAAGCUUCCAUACUGCCGGUAAUUGCUUCAAUCACUAUACAUUACACAUGGUUGCUUCUUGCUUGAAUACCUCUACUGUGCUUCGAAGUGUUUAUUACUAAGUUCGUUGUCCUGUUGGCUUGGUCCACGAAACUAAUAGAUGUGUUAGUUUUUACGUUCCAGAUAACUAAUUUGACUAAUUUUGCUGCAGAAUUUAGAGAGUGGUUUUUCUACACCCCAGCUCGGUGCACCCACGCAAGAAAACAUAGCAAAAUAUUUCAAAAAAUUCAAAAAACUUUCUAGGAAUGAUCAUCAACAAAUGUUAUCGGCACUUGCAAAGUUUGGUGAUCAAAUAACAUUUGAUGAGCUCUGUACAAAAAAGACAAAAUCACUGAACAUUAGUCAAAAUGUAAGCAAAUUGUUUGAGCAGAUUUUGUAAUUUUGUCUUUUUUGUACAGAGCUUCUCGAAUGUUAUUUGAUCACCAAACUUUGCAAGUGACGAUAACAUUUGUUGAUGAUCAUUCUCACAAAGUUUCAGAAUUUUUUGAAAUGUUUUGUUAUGCUUUCUUGCGUGGGUGCACCGAGCUGGGGUGCAGCCACUAAUUUCCCCUGAAUUUAACAUACAUUGUAUAUAAUACCUCUGAGUAUGUAAAUUUAGUGAAGAUAAAAUGUAGCCAAAGGCACCUUCGUGGUAAAUAUUACACCUUAAAUCUAAACAUACCCUGAUGUAAAAGGGACCCGUUACUUAUGUUUACACACCUUUUCUUGUACCAAAAGAUUUACAAUCGACAACAUAACAUGAACCUGUCUUUUGAGGCUUUAUUAGGAGUAAUGAAUAAUACACUUCAUAUGGUUAAGUUGUUGAAGGCUGUAAAGAGUAACAUGAUACGUCAAACCUUAGCUUUGUUUCAGGGUUGUGCUGCUGAUAAUGCUUUGCUCCUUAUUCAUCGUGUUCGUCCCAAAGUGGGUUGCCAAAGCAUAGGAAUUUACAAGUCAGGCUGAUAUUCAGUUGUAAAGUUAGCGAGAUUCCUAUCUAAGUUUUACUCCUCUCUUUGUGGUUUUAUAUACUUUGUGUUGGAUAUGGCCAUCAGGCCUGACCGUUUCUUAGUGCGAAGCAGGAAACUGAUCAUAUGUUCGUCAGGUGAUGUGCAAUUGCCAUUGUGUCAAUAGGAGUUAUAACCUAUAUAUAUGCCCCUGAGUUGAGAUUUCAAUUUGCAUUCCGUCAUCUUUACAUUAUUUACGCAAAGUUUGAUGCAUGAAAAAGACCAAAUUACCUCUACUUUCUGUCCCUUUUUGCUCCUCUCCCCUUCUCCCUUUUGCUUUGCGAGAAGCUGGCAACGUAGGCUAGCAAAUUGUCCACGUGAAUGAGUCUGAUAAUUCAGGCACACAACUGUUCAUAAAUAAAAUUAACUAACUGCGUGUCCUUCUGCAACGCAGGCACACCCCAUUCUGAUGUCGUCCAGGGAGCGAGGGACGCUGCGCCGAUGCCUCAACUACAAAAGGCUGGCGCUGGUGGCGUGCAAAGACCCGUCCUCACAGGGGACGCCCAAGCCACAAACUCCUUGUUGGUUGUCAACGACAAUGUGGAGGCGGGUCGUGGUGAGGCGAGGAGACGGAGGCGCUGGGGCUGGGGCUGGACCUGCCACUACAGAAAAACCGCACGCUGCCAAGUAUUAACGUGUAAGCCGAAUGUUAAAACACGGGUUCUCAGCUUGCAUCAACCUAAGCCGAGUACAGACUGGAGAAAACACGGCAAAAAAUAGGUACCCGGCUUCCAUACAAGUAAGCCGGCUGUGUGUAGAAAAAGCUCUUGGCGUACGACCGGUACUGGGCAUACGGGUGGAAAGGCACUCGGCUUACAGCCAACAAUCAAAGCAAGCAUGCUCUGACACUAUAUGGCCACUCAUACAUCUCUUCGAACCUCUAAUUUCUUAUGAACUACUUACCACUUCUUGUAACUUGAUCGAUACUGCCUGCUGCCUGGUUGGCUCUCAUAUCAAGGAGGCAGCCUAGGGUUACUGCCAAGGAGAACCUUGACAUUUUGUCGAUUGUCCCUAUGUUCCACUAGUCUCAUGUAAUAUGUUGUGACUGAUCAUACAUCAAUCUUGCAGCUCCGGUGCCUAUAAGUUUUCCAGUUCGUACCGGAUGUCGUGCGUCUUAGCAGAUAGUCUCAAAUCUUGUGACAUUCGUAUGAAGUUGAAUCCUGGCUGUUGCAGUCAAAAUCAUUGACAGGUGGAUGGAAUUCACAACGCUACAUGUUCUGCACUUGGUUUAAAUUUAGUCUGAAUGAUGUGUAAAAUUUGAUGUGAAAGCUGUCAUCCACCUAAUGUAUGUGUCCAAAAUACGGAGUACAACUCAAGUCCUUUUUAGCAUUCAAGUUGAGCAUACAAAUCAUUUGCACGCUAGUUGACGGUCACCCACUGGCGGAACCCCUAGUAGUUCUUUUUCAGACAGCCUUACCACUACCGGUGUUCGAAUCACACUUUUGUGAGACCGAGGAAAUGUGCACAGGGGCACAAUGCUUAAUUGCUUGGAAACAUGUUUGCAAACAGCAAACUAGAAAACACAUGGUGGUUCAGGCAUUGAAAACUUGCUCAUACAAAACAACUGGAUGCUUAAGGGGAAAGUACACUCCAUGCUUCCAAAUUUUUGCAAUGCCCUGAUGUUCCUUUGGUCCGUUUGUUCCACCUCAUCUGCUCCAUCGACAAAACAAAUCCCUUUUUUUAACCACUGCUAUGUUUUGAAAAUAGUGAAUAAACACCUGGCCUCUCUUCAAAACAUAUCUUUUGUGCUUACAAACAACAGCCUCUCUUAACUUCUUAUGGCUCGAUACCGGGCUCACUACCCAACCACUUGUUUCGGCUUUUCUAAACCUCUUCUCAAACUCGAUAAAAAAACAUCCUUGCAGCACACAUCUUACAAAAUGGGUUGCCAUCUAAACUUAGGAACCAUUUAACCUCGGUAGAGUUUAUAGAAUCGGAUGAUGCUCUUUUUAUUUUGCAGGAUUUUAGUGUCAAUAACUCUUAAGGAUGAACACUACCUCAUGCACGACUACACCAUCGAUCGUGGUGCUGCCUCCAUGUCACAUGGCGUGGCUAAGUACCCACGUUCUUCAUCUUCGACGUCACCGAGCAGGAAUAUGCUGUUGCAGUGCAGAAGGAUUGCCAUUAUUCAACAUUCGGUAUCCAAGUAGUCGAAGCGGGUGACGUUCAAAGAUGAUGUGGCAUGCAAGAAGUUUACUUGAAACAAUUUCAUUCAGAAACCACUUGUAAGUACAAAACUGUAGGGAAAAAAGUACAAAACUUUAAGCAAAAGAAUUCUUACAUCUUCUUUCUUCUAUACAAUUUAAGACUUCUCCGUGUUGUUUCAUUACCAUGGAUAAGCCAUGUUGUAUCAUAACAAAUACAAAAUAAAUUUAGUCAGAGGUUGUCAUAAUGAUGAAUCAACCACUCUUGUGUGCAAAGAACAUGAACAAGUAAAACAUGCUACUAAUUCCCAUGGUAUUUUAGCUAAGCUACUGUUUGUUGCUUGAAAGCUCGUCCAUCAAACACAUCGUGUAUGGGAAAGACAAGCAUAUGCAGUCAGCGGAUAAGCAGCCAUGGUCUUCGAUCUGGGAGCUAUUGAAAUGAUAGGAUAUCACUCUUUUGGAGGUUGUGUGGAAGAAGAAGACAAUCUCUUUGUUCGGAUGAAAUCCAAGUAUAGUAUGUUUGAUACAUGGUUGUUCUAAGUGACUAUCGCUAUGUUCCCAAGAGAAAUCUGCUAGGAGAGGACGAAUGUUCAUGUCGCACUGCAACAUCCAGUUUCUCUGAUCGCCUGCUUCGUCAAGAUGCCAGAUUCGAAGUCUAAGGCCAUCAUGGCCAUCAAGUUGUGCACAGUAUACACCGUUCUCUGAUUUCCCUAAAUUAUGGCCCUGGUAAUCUUUCCAACAAAAACCUUUGGGUGGCUCAAUUACUUGGUAUUUAUCAUUUGUAAUCCCUAUUCUGCAAAAGAUAAGCCAUUGUCAAGGUUAGCUUAAAGGCUCUCUACAUCAAAAUGUGACCAGGGUUGUGUUUAAUUAAGAUGUGAGUAGCCAUCCAUGCAUGUACCUUAGGAUGAAAUCAUGUUGGUGAAAGUAAAGUGCCCCCCGCCAGUAUGCUGCAUAGCGGCGAUCGGGUGAGAAAUCAUCCAACAAGGUAGCCGAUGGUCCUUGCGGCCUCCCCGUCGCGAGCAAAAGGCCUCUCUUCCCACCGAUCUGUCCUCGAUGAGAAGACGAGCAAGACAAAUGUCGAUGGCGGCCAUUCUCUUUCUCGUAUUUGAGGGGGCUCGUAUGGCCAUGAAUCGGAGGGAACGGACUUAACUAAAAAGACCUCGUAGUGCGGCGACACGACGGGGUCGAACACGAGGUACUGGUCAUCGUAAUAUUCUUCAGCAUGGUCGCUGUCCUCCAAACCCGGCGUGCACAUGGCCGGAGGGGGAGGCAGGUGCGCCCACUUGUGUGUGGCGGGGUUAAGCACCCAUACCUCUUCAUCAUCCUUGUCGCUCAGCAGGAGGAGCCCAUUGCAGUGCUGCGUGAUCUUGAGGCACUCGUGGUCGCGUGUGUCCAAGUAGUCGAAGGGCGCGAUGUUCACGGACGACACGCCGAGUGACAAGAGCUUCGGGGCUGUGGUGCAGCCCUCGAGAUGGACGAAAAUGCCGGUCAGCGACUGCGGCAGGAGCUCCGCGAGCAGACGGUGGGCGUCAACGACGGCACACCACGCCUUGCAGACGCAGCAGGACGCCGCAAGGCUGCACGGCGACGUUGUCCGGAGGCGGCGCAGGACGUCGGCCAGCACGUCGUGAGGAAGCCGCUGCGUCAGGUCGUCCAUGGUUGCCUGGGGACUUGUGCUGCUUCGAUCCAGUAUAUAUAUGGUUCGAUGUUUAUGCUAGGGAGAUAGUUUGUGAUGGAAUCCGUCCGACUCGGUGGACAUUCCGAAUUCUGCUGGAGAUCGGACUUCAUACACCUAGCCGGUAAAAAUUGGGCCGUGGCCCAUGUGUCCACUGGCUGUGUUCAAUACUGACUCAGUUUUGCGUGUCCAUCCAGUGUGAAUAUAUAUAUAUCGCGAUUGAUCCAGAGCUGGCCUCCGAUCAAUUUGUUGGAUCUCCGUCGAUGCAUGGCCGCCGCCGCAUCGCCGGACCGGCUCUCUGAUCCCUCCGACGGCCUCAUCCACAACCACCGCCCUCUCUCGCCAAUGGCACCGUCCGAUCUGGCAUGGGUCCACACCGCAGACGUCAACUUCGCCUACCGCUAUUUCACAAGGUUUUUUUUUUCUCGAUUGCGUCUCUUUUUUUCUGGUUUGAACUAGGAAAAUAAAAGAGUAUAUUCAAGAUUGAUAAUACAUUGAAGACGUAUCAAUGGUCUAUGAUGCCACAAGUGUAGCAGAAGUCCGGCAUAUGUUCGUACUCAAAUCGGCACCAAAGCAACUUCUUCUUUUUGUGGCUCAUCUCCCCAUCCUUGGGUCCUUCCUCAUUUCUGUCAAGUGUGAAUCCCCUCAUGAGUGGCUCGUUAAUAUCCAGCUUCACUUUAACCCGGAGGAAUUUACCCACGGCUCUGCCAUCAUGACCGACAUCCACAUCCAGAACCUCCUAAAAAUCUCUCCCUAUGAGCUCUCCCAUAGCCCUGUUCAUAGAUACCAGUGGUAUCCCGAACACACGAAUCCAUAUGGGGAUCAAGUUGAACUCGUACUCAUCGACGGUUUUAUCAGUAUCAUAGUUGUCCAUCAGCAGCAGCUUCUUAUCGAACCACCAGGGUCCGUCCUCCACGGCUCUCCUCCAACCCGUCGCCUGCAUGAACGUGAAAAGAAAAAUGUUCUCGUCCAAUUCCUUGCAGCCUAGCCCCUUGUUCCGGCACCAAAUUUUCCCCAGCGUGCUCCCCAUGGCCCAUGCAUGUGCUGGCUUCUUCGAAAAUAGCUUACGCAUACGAAACAUCUGGUGCCCACUCUGGAGCCUUGUCCCUUUCUUUCUCCCCGAUCUUUAAGCGCUUCUUCUCCACCGCUGACAACUUCAACCCCUUCAUCAACCCCUCUACUGCCUCCAUCCUCCUCGACCAAACCACCACUCUCCUCACGUCAGACCUAAAACUAGGGUUUGUAGGUGGUGUACGACCGAGCGCCCUAGAACCGCACAGAAGGCCUAUGUGGAUGGGAAAGGGUUAGGGAGGGAUUGGGGGGUGGACGAGAGAGCAGGGAAGGCUACGGAUCUCAGGUGGUCAGGACGGAGGCCCGAACGCCGUCGACAAGAUCUGGUGGCGGGCGACAGGGCCAGGAUAAGAUCCAAGCGUCCUUGCGACUGCCUCUUCGAAAAUUACACUAACCGUCACCAGAGUGACGGACGAGGUCUCGCCUUAUAAAGAUCUCUUCUUGGUAGAACCUCACAGAGGAGUUGUACUUUUUUUAGCAUAGCACAAGCCUUAUACUUUUUUUUAUCGUAAGCCACAAACACGAUCAGUGUUGGGCCGUAAUCCAAGGAUGGGUGACUGAGCUUUUCUCUAGAGGCCCAGCCCAAGUAUUCCUUCCUUCUUACGCAUCCUCCAGUAACCCUACAGCCCUACUCCGCUCCCCCAUUUCCGUUUCUUCUCCCCACAUGAGUCACGAGGGCGGCAGCGGCGGCGACGGCGAGAUGGCCCUCCUCCCCGGCCAUCCGCAGCCGGCGGCGCCGCUGGAAGACGAGGACGUCCUGGGCCAGAUCCUCGUCCGCCUGCCCCCGCUGCCCUCCUCGCUCGUCCGCGCCGCCGCCGUCUCCAGGCACUGGGGGCGCCUCGCCGCGGACCGCGCCUUCCUCCGCCGCUUCCGCACCCACCACCGGAGGCCCCCCGUCCUCGGCGUCUUCGAGAUGCGCGGCGGGGAGCUGGUGUUCACCCCGCUCCUCGACGCCCCCGACCGGAUCCCGCGCGAGCGCUUCUCCAUGCGGUUCUGGCACGUGCUCGGCUGCUGGACCCUGCUCGGGUACCGCCACGGCCGCGUCCUCCUCGUCAACCUGGAUCUGGCCCUGCUGCUUGUUUUCGCCCCUCUCGCCGGCGGCCGCCGCCGCCUCCGCGCCGCGGUAAUUCCGCCGGAUUUCGUCGACGGCGAGUGCGCCGUCGCCAACGGGGCGGUGCUCUGCGCUGCCGGUGACGAGCAGGGGCACGUGCACGGAGACUGCCACUCGGGCCCCUUCAAGGUGGUUCUGGUGGCCACCGGAGUGAGACACCCGGUCAUAGCCCGGGUCUACUCCUCAGACACCGGUGAGUGGGGAGAUCUCGUCGUAAUGGCGGAACCAUGUGUUGUUAGCAAGUUCCCCUCCACCCUCAUCGGCAAUGCUCUUUACUGGUGGCUAAACAAGUGUCAGCAAGAGGAUGGCAUACUCAAGUUCGAUUUGGAUAGCCAGACACUAUCUCUGGUCAAGAGGCCUAUUUUUGAUGGCAUUCCCAGUUGCAGAAUCCGGAUCAUCAGGGGAGAGCAUGGCGGUGUUGGCCUUGCCGUAUAUUCGUACAUGAGAUUCCAAAUCUGGGAACGCAUGGUCAAUAGUCAUGGUACUGCCAUAUGGGUGCUGCGAAAGACCGCUCGCAUGCAUAGUAUGCUUCAGUAUUCUAUGCUGACUAUAGUAGGGUACUCCGAGGAUGGCGAUGCGCUUCUUCUAACAGUGUCCUUCGGUGGUGUGCCCACCUACAGCUUCAUGCUUCAACUUGAGUCAAUGGAGUGGACGAAUCUUAAUCAAACAUUUUUGGAUUGUUCCUACCAUCCGUUCGCAUACUUCUAUACUGCAGGUAAUUGUUUAUCUUUACAUUACAAGAGUUGCCUGAACAUGCUUACUUUGCAUACAUGGUUGCCCAAUGCCUUUACUGUGCUUUGAACUGUUUGCUAGCAACUUAGAUCAAUAUAAUUGUUUUUUUUUGUGUUAUAACUUAACUGGAUUUAUCUGGAAGGUAGCAAACUAUUUUGACUUAUUUGUUCUAUUGUAUCAUUUUUUUGAAUGUUUUUACAUUACAUGCUCUAUAUAAAGUUAUUGUGUGAAACAACCUGUUGGUCGGGUACCUUCCAGAAAAUUGUUCAAUGGUUGAGGUGUCACCUCUCAUAUUCCCCUAAGUUGAGGUGUCCGUUGCUAUUCUAUCAUCUUGACAUUUUUUGUAUGUAGAUUUCCCAUCUGUUCUUAUCCUCUGUUGUUGUUCUCCCUUUUGCUCUGAAGCAAAGUAGGCAUGCAGAUUGCUCAGAACAAUCUGAUUAUUCUGUUGCAACAAUUGGUCACAAAAUCAAUAAAUUAACUAAAGAGUUGUUGACAAUUCGUAAUAAUCUGAUCAUUCUGUUGCAACAAUGGGUCUUAGAAUUUUAUGUAGAUGUCAAGAUGAUUCUUGUUUACGAAAAAAACCAAGGCUGUGAGGACGAUAUCUUGGCUACUUGCAGUACUUCAAUUUUUGAGAGAAUUGUUAGCAGCUUCCAAAGGUUCAAAUAGAUAACUCUUAAUUAUUAUGUUUGAUCAUACUUGGGAAUCUGGUGAUUUUGGAAUAGCCAGAAGCUGUGAUCUUAUUUGAAAAGAAUGUUGCGUUUUAUGAUCAUUUCAUAUGUCGGCGAUGUUAGGAUAGGUUUGAGCCUGAAUUGGGUAUUCAAUCACCGAGUUUGUUGAGCUAUUUUACCUAAUCUUGGCGGAGUGACUUCAAAGGUUUAAUCAUUAAUCCCUUUGGUAGUGAAGUACUGAAGUUAAUUUUUCCUGAUCCUUCUGAGUUAUGGCUCGCGCAAUCAUCACUAAUGAGGUUGGUUGCCACAGGUACUGUCAGAGCGUCAAGUACCGCUCCAGCCAUUGAGCCACCACAGCAGCGAAGUACAAUUCCAGCCAUUGUGCCACCACAACAGUGAAGUCCAGCCAUUCCACAGCUGCGGGGUAAAACCAUAAAUUGUCAGGCAUCUCGUCAACCUUCAGUUUCGUAUGAUCUGCAUAUUUUUUAUGACUUGGUUGAUGCAAUGAGAUGAAAGACUCGGACCAAGGGACACCCUGUGUUUUGCUGUGUGAGAGAGCGUUGUCACUUUGUCAGCUGUCUCUUUAUUUUACUUGUUCAACCCAGUCAACUGUUUUGCCCAUAUAACACCUUAUGUUUAGUAUCGUAAAUGAUGCUGCAGUAGUUGAUGCUGGCUGCCGCUUGUAGGAGAUAGAGCAUCAUUUCCUGUGCUAUCCGUAUCAUAAGAUGAAGUCGACUCCUGGGUGUUGGGGUCCUGAAUUGAAUUCUGAAGCCAUGUGUUGAUCUCUGCAUUUUUUUCAUCUUGUUUUACAACGUAGUUUCAAUAGUUGAGGGCUGAGGGUGCAACUUCUGAAUGGUUUGAGCUUGGGGGUAAAUUGAACCAAUGCAAUAGUCGAGGAGGCAAAAUUAGGCUUCUUAGGUCAAUAACUACUGUGCUGCCACAGUAAAAAAGAAGGAUGUUUACUCGGAAGUCUGAACAGGUCUAUCCUUUAUGAUAUUGAGCAUGCAAAUGCCAUCCCACCACAUGUAGUACAAUAUGAAUGUUUUUAAUAAAUGGUCCUAGACUACUCGGGCGGGGAGAGGUGGCGGUCAUGUGUCGUUCCAUCUGGUAGUUGUUUCUUUCCUUACUGUGCUGUCCGCUUGUUUUCAUCAAAGCUCAUAGACUUUGGUCAUUUAGUCGCUGCUUCUCUGCCAACGGGGCCUCCAUGCUCGUUGGUCCUGCUGGCAGCGGGCGGGUUUUGUUUGUGUCCUGUGCUCGACAUCUUUUUCACCAUGGCCCUCACCCCCAUUCUCCUUCUCAGAGAGGCUUUUCAUCCACUGUACCGGAUUAGUCACGAGGCACAGAAUUAGGUUUGGUAGGAAUGCCGCUUCAUGCACGCGGCCGGGUCGAGAAGACAGACACUAUUGCUGGGCCCAUUAUCCAAUAGGUCAUGUCCUCAUGUCCAACCAUCUCCUGAAACUGUUGCUGGGCCCAUUCUCCAAUGGAUCAUAUCCUUCUCAGAGAGGCUUUUCAUCCACUGUACCGGAUUAGUCACGUGGCACAGAAUUAGGUUUGGUAGGAAUGCCGCUUCAUGCACGUGGCUGGGUCGAGAAGACAGACACUAUCGCUGGGCCCAUUAUCCAAUAGGUCAUGUUCUCAUGUCCAACCAUCUCCUGAAAGUGUUGCUGGGCCCAUUAUCCAAUCGGUCAUAUCCUCAUGUCCAACCAUCUCCUUGUUUAGCUUAGCUUAUUUGCAUUUGCUUUUACGCACAACCAUAUCUUCUCUUGUUAAGCUUUCUAAUGCCUGCCACUGGGCCUUAGCUACUGCUGGGCCUGCACGGCAGCUUGGUGCUCCCUCCCACGGUAAGAACUAAUCAAGCGAGUGAUCAAAGCCUACAAAAACGGUGAAUAAUAAUGCUGCCCCUCUCCUUCCAACUUUGUGCCCCUCCUUUCCCUUCCCAUUGUAGCAUCCAGCGUUUUUUCUUUCGAGCAACUACGCCUGUAAUAGUGACAGUCAUGGUAGAUCUGGUGUGAUGGAAAGGGGCUCACAGCGUGUAACCAUCCGUGUCAGCCUCUUUUGUGGGAAUCAAGGCAACACUAGCCACAUUUACAGUGAUGGGCGAUGGUGAAGCACCAGUUCACAAAGCCAUUUAAAUAUUUUCCUGUUUCGUGCAGCGAUAUUUUGUUCAUAAAUGUUACCCAUCUAUAAUUUGGCUAUUAGAUGAUUAGAAUGAAGCAGGCUUGCUACUUCAAUUACAGCUACGUUUUAAGGAAAGAUCUUGAUAUGGUUUCUGAUGACCCAUGGCAUAGUUAGUGCGUCCAAUAACAUCCUGUUAAAAUUGUUGAAAUCUCAGCUGUGAUGUGUUCUACCUUUGUUUUUUUUCCUCUACGAUCUUUGAGAAUAUGAAGCUCUUGUUAGUUUGUCGGCUAGCGGCAUGAAUCACAAUUGCAUACAUCUGUGUUGCAGAACUAAAAUAUAAAUUGGAAUAGCUUUUAAUACAAAUAUUUUUUUGUUUUAUGCUUGGUGCAGGUGGUCGCAUGAUUUAGUUGAUCAGUAGGAUUUGCAUCUGCAGCAGGUAUAUAUUUUUUCGAAUUGCUUUCUUCAUAUGUUUCAGUUGGGCGUAGUUUGUAUCACUAUUAAUCGUAUGAAACUUCAUCAAUUGCAGAGGCAUAUGUUGUUUAUAGGAUUUUUAAAUUCGUCUUGUAUAUGAAGACCAUAGAAAGUGUAAAAUGAAAAUGUAAGUAAAACGCUCCCAGUAUGUUUUGAUUCACACGGCCAGUGGCUCCAAACUGCAUCUAAUUAACUGUCAUUUUCAGUUGGAUUUGGUCUCUUAACAGCACUUGGUGGUACGAGUUGAAUCAUAGAACAGGAGGCAGGUAAGUACAGGGGACAGGUAAGCAUUGUUAUUAUGAUCUGUUUGUAGCUUCCUAAAAAUGAGUGUACUGUCAUGGUCAUUUGACACAAUGAAGAAAAAAUAAAGGAGUGUAGGCUGAUAGAAGUCGUAAUUGUGAGUUGGCACCUUGCUUUCAAUAAAAUUUCAUCUCAUUGCUCCUUAUUUGUACGACAGCAAUACAUAUCAGCAAAAUAAAAGGAUGUUUAUUAGCCAGUUUUAGACGUGGUGGCAUAAUAUCAGUAAAAACUAAAGAAUGCUACUAUUCAUCAGAUUUUCCUUUUGUGAAUAUUUGCGUUGCCUUUUUUGGACCAUAACUUUUUGUUCUUUGGCAGAUGCAUAGUGUGCUACUCCCUCCGUCCGAAAAAGCUUGUCCCUCAUAUGGAUGUAUCUAGCACCAAGUUAGUGCUAGAUACAUCCAUUUGAGAAACAAGUUUGGGACAAGUUUUUCCGGACGGAGGGAGCACUACAAAAUAUUUACUUGAUCCUUGAUUGAAAUACUUCUAUGAACUGAGAUCUUGCGCUCUGCUUUUACCAAUCAGCCUGUUUGCUUCUUUUCUUACAUCUACUUUAAUUAUACAUUUCUGGAUUUGGUGCUUUGAUUUGCUGCAGUUUCCUUAAUUCAGUAGAUGCAUGAUGUGCAUCAAGACGCUGGAUUUCAUGAUCGGUUUUCCAUCUCACAUCAAUAGUUUAGGCCACUAUUUGUUUAUCCAUGCAUUUUAGGUAAACAUUGGUGUAGACUUGGUUGUUUUUUUUUGGUUGUUUGUGGUAUCCAUUUUCCCCUACACUAGGUAAUUGCCCGUGCGUUGCAACUUGCAACGGAGGCAUACAAAAUGUACCACUAAAAUUUUAGUUAGUUUUUUACAUAACAACCAUGAUUUACCUUUAUUGUUAAUAUGAACCUUGAUUUACCAUCUAUUUAUUGUUAAUGUGACUGCAUACUAACUGAUGCAAUUAGCAAGUGUUAAGUGAUAACCUCUGGAAUAUCAGUUGUGGGAAAGUGCAGCACAAAUUAAUCCUAAUUUAAUUCUUUCCCCAACCUGCUUGGUCCUACAACAGGCAAACAUUAGGUUGCUAGCAACAAAAUGAUAUGCAAGGAACAAAUUGCAACCCCACAGAAGAGAAAAAAGGGCUCUUUACCUUCUAUCCUCCCAAUCUGCAAAAUAAAUAGAAUUGAGACAUAUCGUGCCAAUUCAAUUACUAAAGCUCAUGUCCAAUUUUGGAAGCUAAUGGCCAAGUAGUUGGCAAUUUUGUUUCUGAAGAGAAAUGCAUUGGUGCAAUUUUGUCCACUUUUGAUCAUUCCCUCUUAACAAAAAUGCCAGUGAUGUUUCUCUGAAUUUAGUAUACUGACCAUUUCAGCAGCAUAAUUUCUCUAAGUGACCAUGCAGUAUUCAGUGACUUUUCUAGAUGACUAAUAUGCAGCAUGCAUGGAUGGCUGGGAGACUGGGCAGAGAGAGUUUGUCAUGAAAACUGUUUUUUGCUUUAACUUUUACUUUGUUGUGUUUCCUCUGUCCAUUCUUUCCUCAGUUAAAACUUCACUGCCAAAAACCAGAUUACCUCCUUCCAUGAUCUGCAGAAAGGCAUAAGAAUACUGAAGUGUCACCAGACUGAGAGAUGCAAAGUACCAACUGCAUAAAAUCUGUGUGUCCAAAUCGUUUAGUUAUGGCAAUUACAAAUUUAGUUGUUUAAUAUAUACAAUAAGAAAUUCAGUGUUCUACCAAUUACAUCAAAUUAGUAGUCAGUUUAUCCCAUGCAGUGCACAGGAAAAUGUCAAAACAAAGGAGAGGAUGAGGCCGUCUACCUUGCAGAGGAGCAAGCCCGUACUUGCUGCUGCCGGUCUUGGCGCCGCCUCCGUGUAGGUGGAGUUCGUGGAGGUCGAGAUCUGCGAGAUCCCCAGAGUGGCGCAUGGCAUAAGAGCAUCAAAAGAAUUCAGAGGAGGGGCUGUGAAUCGAACAUAGAAGAAUCAAAUCUUUUGCUUGUGGCGCCGGAUCAUGAGCCCUCGGCGCCAAUCGGCCGGUGCCCCAUCGGCCUCUCUGGGUCAAUGACGUAGCAGACUGAUGAGAAGGCAGAGCCAGCAGGCGAGGAGGUCAAUGUAAGGAACUGGGGGGUGGCGGUGUCGCGCAGUGCGUUUUUGGGUAGCUCGGACAUCGAAGUGGCACCAGCGAGUCGAGGAGAGGAAGGAGGUGUUGAGGUGUGGGGUGGCAGCUGGCUGCAGCGGGUGUCCGGGAGCGGUAGGCGUGGCGGUGGAGAACAGGGUAAGGGGAUUUAGGGUUGAAGAGUGGUGCGGGAUGGAAAGAUGAGAGAGGUGGGCGAUGGAUUCUGCUGGACUUUUUUUUUCCUUGCGCGGGUUCUUUUGCUAUCUAGAAAACCGAGUGGGGGAGAGGAGCGGCACGAGGCAGGAUGUGAAACGGAAGAGGCGGACGAAAAGAACAAGCAAUCCAUAACUGGUAUGCAGGGUUACUUGGCAUGUCAAAGAAGCACAAUCCAUAACUGCUCCUGCAAGCAUCUCAGAUCUUGUAGGCUUGUGAAGGUGAGCGCCCUGUUGGCAAAAUAGGGCAUGCGGUCUUCUUAUGUCAAACCCUUGUUAAUCAAUUUGCAUCGUGGAAUGUCUUGAUGAAUGUACAUAUCUGGAAGGUUACUCUGUUCUGCUGGUGCAGGCUGGAAUGCUGUUAUAUCCUGUCAAGUUUUUGUUGUGCCUAUGUGCCCAACUCACACUGGGCCUGAAAAUCACAAUGCAUCUCUUUUUUUUACUGUAAAUUACAGUAAAAUUUAACAUUUGAACCGAAAAACUCUGAAGCCGAAAUGGGCAGUGAAAUUGUCUUUAAAUGUUGCGAUGCAAGCACGCUGUUGAAAAGAAUUGCAUGGGAAUCGUAAUGUUCAUCUUCCUCUACAAAAGCGUAUUUAUCAGAAGUGAAUGUCGUGUGUGGGCGCAGACCGGGGCAAAGCAUUUGAGCGCCCUUCUCCCAUUGUAAUUUCCUUUUGCCCCGGCUGGUCGUUGCCACUCGUACCUAUCCCUAUGUAUUUGUUUUUCAUCUCUUAACAUAUGACAUGCAGUCUUACAUGCUUGAAAAAAGAAGAAAACAAUUGCAUGGGAGGCCAUCGCCGAAUGGAAGGGUUGAAGCUUAUCAGUUUGUUUUGCUUGAGAUGGACGAUUUAAAGUGAAGACGAGCUGCAGCGAAUUGUUAACUUUCAGGGAUUAUGUGCAUGCCAAGGAUAUGUUGCCUGCUUUUCGUCUGGUUUGGCAUCAGGAUGUUUUUUAUUAAUCUGUGAUAUUAAUCAUAAUAAAAGGAAAUGUUAUCUUUUACUCUUGAUGUGGUACUCGUAAUGAUGGACGAGGUGAGCCCUUUGCUGUUAUUAGACAAGAGAAAUCGGAUAGCUUUGAUCAAUGAGACAAUCAAUCUUUCAGUAUUUUCUCCAUGGAUGGAAGUCAAUCAUGUCACUUUUUUCUUUCUACUAAGUAUGCAAAUAUCAGUAUAUGACAUUUGCCAUGAAAAGGCUCACAGCCAUUCUAAAAGGAAAUG